UAGUUCCUCUCAUCUUGGAGAUGGAAGGUGAAUCUAGUUCCUCUCAUCUUGGAGAUGGAAGGUUAAUGUGUAGUUCCUCUCAUCUUGGAGAUGGAAGGUUAUGUGUAGUUCCUCUCAUCUUGGCAAUGGAAGGUGAAUCUGUAGUUCCUCUCAUCUUGGAGAUGGAAGGUGAAUCUGUACUUCCUCUCAUCUUGGCGAUGGAAGGUGAAUCUGUACUUCCUCUCAUCUUGGAGAUGGAAGGUGAAUCUAGUUCCUCUCUUCUUGGAGAUGGAAGGUUAAUCUGUAGUUCCUCUCAUCUUGGCAAUGGAAGGUGAAUCUGUAGUUCCUCUCAUCUUGGAGAUGGAAGGUGAAUCUGUAUUUCCUCUCAUCUUGGCGAUGGAAGGUGGAUCUGUAGUUCCUCUCAUCUUGCCGAUGGAAGGUGGAUCUGUAGUUCCUCUCAUCUUGGCGAUGAUAGGUUAAUCUGUGGUUCCUCUCAUCUUGGCGAUGGAAGGUUAAUCUGUGGUUCCUCUCAUCUUGGCGAUGGAAGGUGGAUCUGUAGUUCCUCUCAUCUUGGCGAUGGAAG
rnacentral:lncRNA from 1 species